UACGUAGGGUGCAAGCGUUGUUCGGAAUUAUUGGGCGCAAAGCGCGCGUAGGCGGGUUUGUAAGUCGAUUGUGAAAGCCCUGGGCUUAACCUGGGAAUGGCAGUCGAAACUGCAAAUCUUGAAUGUCUGAGAGGAUGGCGGAAUUCCCGGUGUAGUAGUGAAAUACGUAGAUAUCUGGAGGAACACCGGUGGCGAAGGCGGCAUCCUGGACCAAUAUUGACGCUGAGGAGCGAAAGCCAGGGGAGCAAACGGG
rnacentral:rRNA from 1 species